GCUUCGGAGGCGACGGCAUCAACAAUGUAUUAGUUUGUGAUUAGGUCUAGUUUAUGGUGAACCACAUGUGAUAGGAUAAUCAUAUUUGGUAUGCAGUUGUAUAAGCAUUGGCACAUCUCAUUUCCAUGGAGAUUAUUUGGCCCUGCCUUCUCAGUCAUGGUCUAUUGACUUCGAAACUUUUGCUCAUACAUGUAUUAGUUUGUGAUUAGGUCAGUUUAUGGGGAACCACAAGUGGUAAGUCAAUGAUAUUUGGUAUGCAGUUGUAUAAGCAUUGGUAUAUCUCAUUUCCAUGGAGAUAAUUUGGCUCCAGCCCCUUAGUCAUGGUCUAUUGACUUUGAAAUUUUUUUCUAAGUUAUCAUGUAUUAGUUUGUGAUUAGGUCAGUUCAAGGGGAACCAUUAGUGGUUGGGCAAUGUUAAUUGGUAUUCAGUUGUAUAAGCAUUGGCACAUCUCAUUUCCAUGGAGAAUAUUUGGCCUCGCCCCCUCAGUCACAGUCUAAUGACUUUGAAACUUAUCUUAGUUUACAUGUAUUAGUUUGUGAUUAGAUCAGUUUAAGAUAAACUGCUUAUGUUUAGUCAAUAAUAUUUGGUAUGCAAAUUUAUUGGCAUUUGCAAGUAUUGUUUCCAUGGAGAUUAUAUAGCCCCACCCCCUCAUCAUGGUUCAUUGACUGUGAAACUUUUACAUAGUUUACACAUUAAUGUUUGUAAUUAGGUUUGGGAACGACUUAUACAUGUACCGUACCUAAAUGUUACAAUAAUUUUUAAGUAAAGAAAGUUAUGAUACUAAAUAUCAAAAGUAAAUGUCCAGUACUACAGAUUUUAAAUACAGAAACAUUACCUAUGCAAAAGUAGCAGUUUAUAUGAAUUCAAGAAUUGAAUCUACAUGUAUAUUCAAUUAAAGAUUUCUUGCUGUUGUGCAAUACACUGGGCUGUUGCGCAAUAAUUGGUUAAUCUGUUGUCAGACUGCAAACAAACAAUAAUUUCUCAAUGUCACAUGUAUAUCAGAAAUUUAUAAAAAGAAAACUAAAAGGAGGUUUUCUUAAUAGCUAUAAAUCGGUCAUCAAAGUUUAACGAAAUUUUAAGGAUACAUGUAUUUCCAAAAACUUGAAAGUCACCCCUUUUCUUAUGACAUGUAUGAAGAAAAUCUUAUAACUCAGAAACUGACAAACUUAAAUUUAUAAAAAUCAAAUGGGAGCUUACAACAAAAAAUAUGAACAAUUUAACUAAGUUUCAUGAUAUUCAGCAUUUUUAUGUCCCACUCAACGAAGUUUUGGGGGUAUAAUGUUUUUGACCUGUCUGUCUGACGUCAAGUCCUGUUUCUUGUCAUCACAACUGUUCUCAAACCACACAACAGAAUUUCAUGAAAUCUUUUUAGAUAAUAAGGACAUACAAUGUAGAUGUGCAUAUCGACAGGAAAUUAAGAUUCAAUUUUUUUUUUUUUAGGAGUUAAGCCCCUUUGAACUUAUUUGCUUUAAUGUACUACUUCAACAGUUUGUUAUUGCAACUCUCCUGAAUCCACACAACAGAAUUUCAUGAAACUUUGUAGAUAAUAAGGACAUACUAUGUAGAUGUGCAUAUCAACAGGAAAUUACAAUUCAUUUUUUUUUCUAGGAGUUAUGCCCCUUUGAACUUAUUUGCUUUAUUACUACUUCAACAGUUUGUCAUUGCAACUCCUCUGAAUCCACACAACAGAAUUUCAUGAAACUUAGUAGAUAAUAAGGACAUACUAUGUAGAUGUGCAUAUUGACAGGAAAUUAUGAUUCAAUUGAAGUUUAUCAAUUGCCAAGGUACAUUGAAAGGUUGUUCUUUUAUUAAAAUCUGCACAUACAUGUAUAUAGGAUUUUUUUAUAAGCUUAAACUUGAUCUUCUUUCUGUUGUUAGCUUACAUUUUGUUUCAAUUUACUUAAAAGUAAAAGUAUAUAGGAAAGGUAUAAAUUAGUGAGCAUCGGUUCAUACUACAUAUAGUUUUUGUCUGGACUUCUUGAUUAAUUUAUAUAUAUAUAUAUACAAUUUUAGCUUGUUACCAAAUGAAAGGAAAGGACAUUAUUGGCAAGGAUUGAUAUUACUGGUGAACAUGUAUGUCAUGUAGGUGUGAAUGCCCUGCAAAACAGACCUGAUAUCAAAGUAAGUUCAUCUGUAGAAUUGCAGUUAAUUUAAAUAAUUUUAUGUUAUCUACCUAAAACUGUUUCAAGUUUAAUUGUACAUGUACAGUGUUGCUUAUUUUUCUCACUUUCUGAUUCAAUGCAUGCAUUAAGCCUUACUCUGCUCGCCUCCUUCUGCUCCAUACACACACACUUGAGAUGUCAGAAAUUCAGACUAUCAUAGCAUUUACAUUACAAACUUACCUAGUCAGACUGGCCAAUAUUAUGUUUUGAUAAGUUAACGUUGUUAUUUAGAAAACAUAAAAUAUUUGCCACUGGACAUUCAAAUAAGCAAAAAAAAAAACGACCAGUUAAUGAUUUUGCAUUAACAGAAUGAAUUUGCAAACAUAUAACAAUUAGCUUAUGUAAUUCAUGGAAGUUAGAUUUAUAUUCUUUAUGAAUAUUUUAUUUCAGUUACCAUCACAGUGAACAUGGUGAAGAAUAACCAAUACCAUGAAUACAGGACACAGAAGACUACCUCACAAACUUGGGAAUUUUACAAAAAAUAGAACGUUUAAAUUUACAAAGAAGACAUUUAUUUUGACAUUCAUAGACUUGGAAAGUAGAGAAAUUAUAAUGUGAAUAUAAAUCCUUGGAAAUAAAAUUUUGAACUUUGAAGAAGAUUGAAGAUUAUGUUUGUUCUAAGAAAGUUUGAAGAAAAAGGAUACAUUCAAAACUGUAAAAAGGAAACAUUACAGUAUUCUCAAUUUAUACUCUUGAGAUCAAUUACUCUUGAUAUAUAAUUAAAAGGACUUAUAAAAGUAAGGACAUUUGGUUGAAUUGCCAAUGAGAAAAAUAUCCACCAGAGUUCACAUGAUGUGAUAGUGAGCUAUUAUAGGUAUCCAUAUGUCCUCCAACAAUGAAAAAAAUGAACUAUAUAGUGUGUUGUGAAAGGGUUUGGACAUGACAAAUAGAGAAAACUAAGAGCCUUAUUUUAUCAAGUUAAUACAUGAAAGCAAAAUAUGAACCAAAGACCACCACUGAAAUACUUCUGAUUAUUGUUGAUUUACUCUUGAAAUAUCAUGUAAAAUGUUUAAAAAGAUAUCAUCAAUAUUCAACUUGUUAAACAACAAGUCACUGUAUGACAGAAAGUUCUUUGACAAAAUCCUUGUAUGUGUAUUGCAUCAGAAUAUUUUUUUUAGAUAGAACACUAGGAG
rnacentral:lncRNA from 1 species